UCCCCGAUGAUCCAGUGGUUAAGACUCUGUGCUCCCAAUGCAGGGGGCGCAGGUUUGACCCUUGCUGGGGGAG
rnacentral:tRNA from 1 species